UGGGGAAUAUUGCACAAUGGGCGCAAGCCUGAUGCAGCCAUGCCGCGUGUGUGAAGAAGGCCUUCGGGUUGUAAAGCACUUUCAGCGGGGAGGAAGGCGGUGAGGUUAAUAACCUCAUCGAUUGACGUUACCCGCAGAAGAAGCACCGGCUAACUCCGUGCCAGCAGCCGCGGUAAUACGGAGGGUGCAAGCGUUAAUCGGAAUUACUGGGCGUAAAGCGCACGCAGGCGGUCGGUCAAGUCGGAUGUGAAAUCCCCGGGCUCAACCUGGGAACUGGAUUCGAAACUGGCAGGCUAGAGUCUUGUAGAGGGGGGUAGAAUUCCAGGUGUAGCGGUGAAAUGCGUAGAGAUCUGGAGGAAUACCAGUGGCGAAGGCGGCCCCCUGGACAAAGACUGACGCUCAGGUGCGAAAGCGUGGGGAGCAAACAGG
rnacentral:rRNA from 1 species